rnacentral:snRNA from 1 species
AUACUUACCUGGCAGGGAAGAUACCAGGAUCACGAAGGUGGUUUUCCCAGGGUGAGGCUUAUCCAUUGCACUCCGGAUGUGCUGACCCCUGCGAUUCCCCCAAAUGUGGGAAACUCAACUGCAUAAUUUGUGGUCAUGGGGGACUGCGUUUGUGCUAUCCCCUG